rnacentral:lncRNA from 1 species
AAUGAUUUGAGAAAUAUAUAUUUAAUGAAAAAAAUAAUAGAAAGAAAUUAGGAUGAGGGAAAGCGCAUGUGGCACUUCCUCUAUCUUCUGCUGGCGCUCCUGUCCUCCGCAGGUGCUCGCUGUCCUCCAAUGGCACUCCACUUCUAUCCUCUGACAGCGCGCUAGUAACCUCCGCAGGUGUGCUUCCUCUAAUCUCCGCCGGCGCGUUGCAUCUAUACUCCGAUGGCGCUCCCGUCCGCCGCAGGUGCUCCCUGUUCUCUGCAGAUGCUCCCGUCCUCUGCAGGCGCUCGCUGUCCUCUGCUGGUGCUCCACAUCUAUCCUCCAAUGGCACACAACCUGUAACCUCCGCCAGGGUGCUACCUCUUAUCCUCUGCUGGCGCGCUACCUCUAUCUUCUGACGGUGCUCUGUCCUCGGCAGGCGCUCCCUAUUCUCCGCAGGUGCUCCCGUCCUCUACAGGUGCUUGCCGCCCUCAGCAGGUGCUCCACCUCUGUCUUCUGGAAGCGCGCUAUCUCUAAACUCCACUGACGCGCUACCUCUAUCGUCUGACGGUGCUCCCAUUCUCUGCAGACGUUCCCUGUUCUCCGCAGGUGCUCCCAUCCUCCGCAGAUGCUCCAUCACUAUCAUCCAAUGGCGCGCUACCUCUAUCUUCUGACAGUGCUCCUGUCAUCCGCCGGCACUCCCUGUUCUCCUCAGCUACUCCCAUCCUCCGCAAAUGCUCCACAUCUAUCCUCCGACGGCGCACUAUCUGUAACCUCCACCAGUGUCCUACCUCCUAUCUUCUGCUGGCGCUCUACCUCUAUCCACUGGCGGCACACUACGUCUAUCCGUUGCUGGUGUGUUACCACUAAACUCAGCCAGCGAGAUACCUCUAUCUUCUAACGGCGCUCCAGUCCUCCGCAGGUGCUUCCUGUUUUCCUCAGGUGCUCUCGUCCUCUGCAGGCACUCGCUGUCCUCCACAGGCACUCCACCUCUAUCAUCUGACAGAACACUACAUCCAACCUCGGCCGGUGCACUACAUCCAUCCUCCAAUGGCAAGCUACCUCUAACCUCCGCUGGCGUGCUACCUCAAUCUUCUGACGGUGCUCCCAUCCCCCACAGGUGCCGCACCUCUUUCCUCUGCUGGCGCACUUCCUCAAUCCUCUGCCGGUGCACUACCUCUACACUCUGAUGAUGUUCCCAUACUGUGCAGGCAAUCCCUGUUCUCCACAGGUGCUCCUGUCCUCUACAGGCGCUCACCGUCCUCUGGAGGCAAUCCACCUCAAUCUUCUGAAGGCAUGCUAUUGCAAAACCCAGCCAGCGAAUUACUUCUAUUUUCUUACGGUGCUCCCAUCGUCCGCAGGCGCUCCCUGUUCUACGCAGGUGCUCCCAUCCUCCGUAGAAACUCCACCUCUAUCAUCGGAUGGCGAAACAGAACCUCCACCUUGAUGCUCCGACAGCGCACUACCGGUAACCUCCGCCUGUGCACUAUCUUCUACCUCUAUCUUCCGAUCGCGCUCCUGUCAUUUGCAGGCACACCUUGUUCUCUGCAGGUGCUCCCGUACUCCGUAGAAACUCCACCUCUAUCAUCGGAUGGCGCACUACAUCUAACCUCUGCCAGCAAACAAACUCUGUUUUCUGACGGUGAUCCCAUCCUCUGCAAUCACUCCCUGUUCUCCACAGGUGCUCCUUUCAACCACUGACAUUCUACCUCUAUCCACGAACAGCACACUACCUCUAACCUCCGAUAGCGCGCUAACUCUUAUCCUCUGCCAGGAUGCUACUGCUAACCUCCGACGGCGCACGACCUCUAUCUUCAGAUGGUGCUCCCGUCAUCUGCAGGUGCUCCCUGUUUUCCGCAGGUGCUCCUGUCCUCGGCAGAUGCUCCACCUCUAUCCCGUGAUGGCACACUACAUAUAACCUCUGCCGGCGCACUAAUUCUGUCUUCUGACGGCGCUCCUGUCCUCCACAGUCACUCCCUGUUCACCACAGGUGCUCCCAUCCUCCGCAGACCCUCAACGUCGAUCCAGUGACAGAGCACUACCUCUAACCUCUGCCAGCAUGCUACCUCUUUCUUCUGACAGCGCACCCAUCAUCUGCAGGCGCUCCUUGUUCUCCACAGGUGCUCCUGUCCUCUGCAGAUGCUCCACCUUUAUCCUCUGAUGAUGCACUACAUCUAACCUCUGCCGGCGCACUAACUAUGCCUUCUGACAGUGCUCCCGUCCUCCAGAGGUGCUCCCUGUUCUCCGCAGGUGCUACGAUCCUCCGCAGACCCUCCACCUCGAUCCUCUGAUGGCACACUACCUCUAACCUCUGCCGGCGCACUACCUCUAUCUUCUAACCACGCUCCCAUCAUCUGCAAGCAGUCUCUGUUCUCCGCAGAUGCUCUCGUCCUCCGCAAACGCUCCAACUCGAUCCUCUGAUGAUGCACUACAUGUAACCUCUGCCGGCGCACUAACUCUGUCUUCUGAUGGUGCUCCUGUCCUUGGCAAUCGCUUCCUGUUCUCCGCAGGUGCUCCCAUCCUCCGCAGAAGUUCCAGCUCUAUCCUCUGAGAGUGCACUACCUCUAUCCUCUGCCGGGGCACUAACUAUGCAUUCUGACAGUGCUGCCAUCAUCUACAGAUGUUCUGUGUUCUCUGCAGGUAACCCCAUCAACCACAGGUGCUUUACAUCUAUCCUCUGAAGGCACACUACAUCUAACCUCUGCCGGCGCACUAACUAUGCCUGCUGACAGCACUCCUGUCCUCCGCAGGUGCUCCCUGUUCUCAUGAGGUACUCCGAUCCUCCGCAGACACUCCACCUUGAUCCUCUGAUGGCACACUACCUCUAACCUCUGCUGGCACAAUACCUAUAUCUUCUAACCACGCUCCCAUCAUCUGUAAGCAGUCUCUGUUCUCCACAGAUGGUCUUGUCCUCCGCAGACGCUCCAACUCGAUCCUCUGAUGAUGCACUACAUCUAACCUCUGCCGGCGCACUAUGUCUUCUGACAGCGCUCCUGUCCUCCGCAGGUGCUCCCUGUUCGCUGCAGGUGCUCCCAUCCUUCGCAGACCCUCCACCUCGAUCCUCUGAUGGCACAAUGCCUCUAACCUCUGCUGGCGCACUACCUCUAUCUCCUAACCACGCUCCCAUCAUCUGCAAGUGGUCUCUGUUCUCCGCAGAUGCUCUUGUCCUCCGCAGACGCUUCACGUAUAUCCUCUGAUGAUGCACUACCUCGAAACUCUGCCGGCGCACUACCUCUAUCUUCUGACAACGCUCCCGUCAUCUGCAGGCACUCCUUGAUCUCUGUAGGUGUUCCCGUCCUCUGCCAAUGCUCCACCUCAAUCCUCUGAUGAUGCACUACAUCUAACCUCUGCUGGCGCACUAACUAUGCAUUCCGACAGCCCUCCCAUCAUCUUCAGGUGUUCUAUGUCCUCCGCAGAUGCUCCACUUAUAUCCUCUGAAGGCACACUGCAUCUAACCUCUGCCAGCGCACUAACUAUGCCUUCUGACAGCGCUCCCGUCCUCCGCACGUGCUCCCUGUUCUCCACAGGUGCUCCUAUCCUCCACAGAUGCUCCACCUCUAUCCUCUGAAGGCACACUACAUCUAACCUCUGCCGGCGCACUAACUAUGUCUUCUGACAGCACUCCUGUCCUCCGCAGGUGCUCCCUGUUCUCCUCAGGUACAUCGAUCCUCCCCAGACGCUCCACCUCGAUCCUCUGAUGGCACACUACCUCUAACCUCUGCCGGCGCACUACCUCUAUCUUCUGACAACGCUCCCAUCAUCUGCCGGCGCUCUGUGCUCUCUGCAGUUGCUCCCGUCCUCCGCAGAUGCUCCAUCUAUAUCCUCUGAAGGC